CCUACGGGAGGCUGCAGUGAGGAAUAUUGGUCAAUGGACGAGAGUCUGAACCAGCCAAGUAGCGUGAAGGAUGACUGCCCUAGGGGUUGUAAACUUCUUUUAUAUGGGAAUAAAACGUUCCACGUGUGGGAUUUUGUAUGUACCAUAUGAAUAAGGAUCGGCUAACUCCGUGCCAGCAGCCGCGGUAAUACGGAGGAUCCGAGCGUUAUCCGGAUUUAUUGGGUUUAAAGGGAGCGUAGGUUGAUUGUUAAGUCAGUUGUGAAAGUUUGCGGCUCAACCGUAAAAUUGCAGUUGAAACUGGCAGUCUUGAGUACAGUAGAGGUGGGCGGAAUUCGUGGUGUAGCGGUGAAAUGCUUAGAUAUCACGAAGAACUCCGAUUGCGAAGGCAGUUCACUGGACUGCAACUGACACUGAGGCUCGAAAGUGUGGGUAUCAAACAGGAUUAGAUACCCCGGUAGUC
rnacentral:rRNA from 1 species